rnacentral:rRNA from 1 species
UACGGGGGGAGCAAGCGUUGUUCGGAUUUACUGGGCGUAAAGGGCGCGUAGGCGGCUUGGUAAGUCACUUGUGAAAUCUCCGGGCUUAACCCGGAAAGGUCAAGUGAUACUGCUGUGCUAGAGUGCGGAAGGGGCAACUGGAAUUCCUGGUGUAGCGGUGAAAUGCGCAGAUAUCAGGAGGAACACCAAUGGCGAAGGCGGAUCUCUGGGCCUUACCUGACGCUCAGGUGCGAAAGCUAGGGGAGCGAACAGG